rnacentral:rRNA from 1 species
GACGUAGGGUGCGAGCGUUGUCCGGAUUUAUUGGGCGUAAAGAGCUCGUAGGCGGCUCGUCGCGUCAGCUGUGAAAUUCCCGUGGCUUAACUGCGGGCUUGCAGCUGAUACGGGCGGGCUAGAGUUCGGUAGGGGAGACUGGAAUUCCUGGUGUAGCGGUGAAAUGCGCAGAUAUCAGGAGGAACACCGGUGGCGAAGGCGGGUCUCUGGCCGAUACUGACGCUGAGGAGCGAAAGCGUGGGGAGCGAACAGGG